UGUUCCUGUGUGGGAGGAUUGUGGGCCUUCUACAUGUCUGUGCCCAGGGGCCCAUUGUCUCAUAAUUUGUCUAUG